ACACUAAGCAGGGCUUAUAUAAGCGGAGACUCAGCCCCGGACAAGUCACUUGCGUUCCGACGAUUCUCGAGGAAACAUCAACUAGGAGGAAUACCCGGGUUAUCACACUCAUCCUUGCCGGAAGAAAUACAAAUUUUGCACCCACCCACAACCACGCCGAGAACAAAAUUUGAUUACAGCAGCAAAGCUCAUAAAAGUAUUUGCUUACAAAAACAAAUCUAUUUUCAGAUACGAAUCUAUUUUAAUUUAAUGUUCCCUGGAAAGGAAAGGCGCAUUAGCUUCAAAAUGAGAAGAGUUUAAGCAGAAAAUACAGCAGUACUAUGCGUAUAAUAUCCACCACGUUAACAGCAAGAAGCCGUUUAUAAAUUUCAAGAAUACAGAAACUAUUGUCCAAUUCAUGGUACUCUUCAAAAGCAUCAAAAAGCAGGACUCCCAGGAAAGUUUAGUCAUCCGAAUGAACUCCAUCGCCGACUAUAGCCAAAGGAUUGCUGAACUUGUCGGUAAAAACUAUUUGAAUUUAAAAACAGUUCAACCGUUUAUGUUUGUAAAAAGCCACAAAGCAAAUUCUUUAAAAACAUGUAUGAAGUGAGUGUUAAAAACUAUGUUCUUUGAUAAACUUUAU